GGUGCGAAUGCGGGCAGGACUACCUCAUGUCGCCGGUUCGAUCCCGGCCCGUGCUUCGGCGCGGUAGCUCAGUCGGUAGAGCAGAAGUCUUGCCGAUCCUUGUCGCGCCGCU
rnacentral:Y_RNA from 1 species